GAAAAGCCCCUUAUAAAACCAUCAGAUCUCAUGAGAACUCAGUCACUAUCAUAAGAACAGCAUGGGGGAAUUACCCCGAUGAUCUAGUCACCUCCCACGAGGUCCCUCCCCCAAAACAUAAAAAUUACAAUUCAGAUUAUAAUAGAAGAUACAAUUUGGGUGGGAACACAGAGCCAGACCAUAUUAUUCAAUAUUUCUGGGAACCUAUUCCUCAGGAAAAGAAAGGGAGUGGGGGAAGAAGUUCUGUUCCAUUUUGGGACUGCACAAUCCCAUUUAACUUUGCUUUCCAGUGGGUUUAGGUUUCUUUUUCCAGUGACUCAUUUAGUAGGAGGCUGCUUCUCAGGGGGCUUCCUUUGACACCAGCACAGAGUUCCUUGAAGCCCCACCUGAGGUUGCCUUUCCCAGGAGGAGGAGGGAGGGCUGCUGGGCUGGUCUGUAAAGAAGGCAGCCUUUGUUCCAUUUAUCCUGAAGACAGCUGCUUCCCCUGGGGUGCCAUUAUGGCAGUCAUUCAGGGAGCUGACAAAGAAAGCCAUUUCUCUUGUGAAGACAGACACUCUUCCAGAUCCACCCAAGGCACUCCUGGAAAACUGGCACCGGGUGUUUUUCAUUACUCAAGUGGGUUCCAAGGCAAGCACUCAGCUCUGCCACCCUGGGCCUGGGGGAAUUUCUUCCACACUUCAACGAAAUAAUGCGUUCAUUUUUUGGCUCAUUCAUUCAUUUAGCAAAUAUAGACUGCACACCUAUUGUGUGCCAGGCACUGUGCUAGGCAUAGGAGCACAACUGUGAAUGUGGUCAAUGUUUUCUUGUGCUACAUUAAAUAGAUUUGGUCUUUGUCCAUGGUUCCUGGCACAGCACUCUUGAAACCCUUGGGAUUUCCAGGAAGGAGUAUUUGUGGCUUGUCACCAGAAAGACUGAGUGAUUAGAGGGUUGGAACUCUCAGCCCACCUGCCCACCUCCCGGGAUGGGAGGAAGUGGGAGCUGGAGAUUGAGCUCUAUAAAAACUCUUGAACAAUGAGAUUUGGAGAGCUUCCAUGUUGGUGAAUGCAGCCAUGUGCCGAGAGGGUGGCACUCCCCAGCUCCAUGAGACAGACGCCCUUGUGCAUGGGACUCUUUUGGACCUUGCACUGUGCACCUCUUCAUCUGGCUGUUCAUUUGUAUCCUUUAUAAUUAACCAGUGUUGGGACUCAGAAAACAAUUCCCCAAAACGAAGGCCUCCAAAGCCACCUCAGAAGCAAAAGUUUUUCUCUGACCUUCUGCCCUCCUGUCUCUCAGUCACACUCUCCCCAGAGGCAAGCCAUACCAGAAACUAAAAUUCCUCUUCCACAAGGUGGGUCAUAGAAACCAGAACCCCAUUUCCCCAAAGCCAGCCAUAAUACAAUAUGACUCUAACUCUCCCUCCCCUUCUGUGUAAAAACUGGCCAUAAAGAAAUGAUCUGACCUACUUUGUUUGACUGUAGGUCAUCAGACUCCCAUUCCAGAGAGGGUCCUGUCCCACACCCAGAAGGAAGGAACGCUGCUCAGAGAGGCAAAGAGAAUCUAGAUAGAUAGGCCUUGCUGGGUUUCCUCACUCAAUCUAUUAGCAUCAGAUCUCCCUUUUUGUCCAAUCAUAUUUUUUUACAUAACUCUCCAUACUUUGUUGAACCUAAGCAUAAAAAUGGACCAUUUUCCCUGUAUCUUUGGGUCUUCAUCCUGAAGACUCCAGGGUCACAUAAAAUGAUGAUCAAAUAAAUCUGUAUGCCUUUUCUCCUAUUCUUCUACCUUGUCAGUGAUUUUCAGCGAACCUUCAGAGGGCGAAGGGUAAGUUUUCCCUUGGCCCAGACACCAGCAAAUGUAAGUAAAGUAUUUUUCUGAGUCCUGUGAGCCACUUUAACAAUAUGAAACAGGGGGAAGGGGCUGUGGGAACCCCUGAUUUACAGCUGGUCAGUCAGAAAUAUGGGUGGCCUGGGCCCCGUGACUGGCAUCUGAAAUAGGGAUAGUUUUGUGAGACUGAGCUCUUGACUUGUGGGGUUUGCACAAACUCUGGGUUACUAACUCUGGUGUCAGAAUUGAAUUGUAGGACACCCUACUGGUCUUGGAAAAUUUGCUGGUGUCAGAAAACAUCCCAGAGUUCCCUACCGCAAUGAGCUUACCACGUGUGGCAGGGAAGAGAGAUAAUGAAACAAGUCAUUAUAAUAAGAUAAUGAGUUUGAAGAGGGGGAAGGAUGAGGUGCCCAGAGGGCCCACAGCAGGGGGAUUUGUCCUAACUGAGAACAGAUAGAAAGUGUCCCUGAAGUUGGGCGCAGUGUCUUGAGCCUGUAAUCCCAGUACUUUGGGAGGAUCACUUGAGCCUAGGAGUUUGAGAUCAACCUGGGCAACAUGGCGAAAACUAAUCUCUACCAAAAAAAAAAAAAAAAAAGUUAGCUGGGCAUGAUGGCACGCACCUGUAAUCCCAUCUACCUGGGAGGCUGAGGUGGGAGGAUCAUCUGAGCCCAGGAGGUCAAGGCUGGCAAAGAGGGCAAGGAAAGAGCUCCAGGGAGAGGGAGGAGCGUGGGCCUGUGGGAGGGCUGGCUGAAGACCAGGCUGGAGGUAGAGUGGGCCUGCAUUUGAAGGACACCUAUGCCAAGUAAGACAAGCACUGGAAUAAUCCUAACCUCAGGAUGAUAACAACUUCACAAAGCCUUUCAGACACCUGUGGAUAUUUCCCCUUCAGAAUGCUCCUGAGCCUCAUUCAUUCAUUCAACAAGUGUCGAGGAAGCAUGUUUCAUGUGCAUGUGCUGGUGAGGAGCUGGGACUACUCAGUGAAGUCAGAUGCCAUCUGUACAAUGGAGGAAACAACAGCCUGGCCCUGAGGAGAAGCAUCAUGGAUGCAGGCUUGCUUCUGCCCAUCAUCUCUUUACGGCAUAGCCCUGCUUGCAGUCAGUGUGGUUUCAUUGGCACUAAUGUCACCUCUGCUAGCUCCAAGGAGGAGGGUGUGACCAGCCCUGGCUAAUCAGAGUAUCACAAUCCUUUUGACCAUUGUGAUUGGUUCAGAAAUUGACACAUGACCUGAGUUCAGCCAUUUAAAUCCUUCCCCAGGACUUUUGGUGGAGCUAAUGAGGAAGGCACCCGCCAUCUGAAACAGCAAAUAAGAACAGGGUGAGCCUGGAGAUGUCAGGAGCUGCCUUUGCCGCCUCAUGGAAAAAGCUUGCCUGAAAUUAGAGCCAACACAGAGGAAAGGAGAUCUAAAAGGUGGGUAGACAGAUGCUUGAGUUCCUGGGUCUAGCUGUAACUCCUCCUAGAUGGUUGGGUGUCUGACUUUGUAGUUACAGGAACCAACAAGGUCACUUUUUUGUUUAAGUUAAUGGAAGUUGAGGCUUUCUCGACUUACAAGCAAGAAUUCUGAUUAAUACAGCAGACACCUGGGCCACCAACUUCACAAUGAUCUGAUAAAUGCCAUUAUAAUAGAGGAAAGACAAGGGGGCGGGACAGUGUAAUGUGGGAGGGGCUGGUGCAGCUCAUGCUGCUGGCCUGGCUCAUCUGUGUCAGCUCCACCCUGGACGUCCCCUGUGGCAUCAGAAGACAGUUUUCAUGAAUAUUGUCGGCUUUCUAGCUCAAGGUCCUGUGUAGGUGUGUGCUCAACCCAGCCACAGGACAGGUUGGAAGUGCUGAGUGGUUAGGACUCAGGGACAAAUCUUUAACCCAUGAAGGAUUGCAUUUAGAGUUUCAGCACCCCAGCUCCCCUACUUCCGGGUGGAAUAGUUCAGAGGUGUUCUUUUCUUAACCCUUCAGAAGGUCCCUGGCAGGUUGGGCUGAAUUGUCCAUAGAUGGACCCUUUUGCUGGCUUUCCUCCUUUCUCUGUCUCACUCCCCUAUUCCUCACCUGGGUAUCCUGGGAUCACCUCCCAAAUAGAGCAUUUGCACCCAAACCCUAAUCUCAAGGGUCUACUUUUGGAGAACACAAACUCAGACAGAAGUCCUCUGCAGGCCAACCAUAUAGGUUUGGAUCCCAAUGAUGAUGCUUCCUGUUUGACUUUGGACAAUGUAUUUAAUUGUAUGCCUCAGUUUCCUCAUCUAUAAAAAGAAGAUGGUAAUUUCACCAAUCUUAGAAAAUUGUUGUGAGGUUGAAAUGAGGUACCAUAUACAAAGAGCUCACAACAAUGUAAGUGCUGCAUAAAUACCGGUUAUUGUUCUUAUUAUUCUUCUUAUUCUUGUUAUUGAGUGUUGUCUAAGCACGACCCCAGGGUCUGGGAAAUCUUGGAAGAGGUGACACUUCAGCUGAAUCCUGAAGGAUCAGCAGGAGCUGGGAUGAAAAGGAAGGAGAGGGCCACAUCGAGCAGAGGGAAUGAAAGGCUCCACUUUGGAAGUCGCUUCUCUGUCUAAGCUAAUAAUUCUAGGAGAUUAUACCCUUUCUAAAGCAUCUGAAAAUACCUUCUUUGGUUACAAGAUAAUUUUUGAUAUCACUUUUUGUUUUGUAUCCACUGCAGAAGAAUUAGAGUAGGAGUGGCAAAAAGGACUUUGAGUCCUGUAAGAGUUAAAUCACCCAAAUGAGAUGUGUGUGUGUGCACGUGUGUGUGUGUGUGUGUGUGUGUGUGUGUGUGUGUGUGUGUGUGUGACAUUUUCUCCCAAGACAGGAAAAGGGCCUGCAGAAUGUAGUCCCAAGAAGGGAUAUGCCAUGCUCCAUUUGAGUUCCUGGGUUUGACAGCAGGACUUCACAGGGGCAUGUGUCUGGUGCACUUAGAGACUAAAGCCCAGACACCAGGGUCCCAGUUUGACAAAGAGCCCUGUCCCUGAGAUUGGCAUGAGAGCCAUGGGCUUGGGAAAAAGUGUAACAUCAGAGACUGGUGUUGGCUGAAGACCAGAGAGCCCUUUCCUGUAUGUUUUGCUCCAUAUGCUGACUCUUGUUCUUGGUGGGUUGUUUUCUUAUAUGGUUUGUAAUCUCACUUUAGUCAGGCUUUAUCUACAUGGUCUGGGUUGAAGAUGUGGCCCUCCAGGGUGGUUCUGCUUUUGAUUCUGCCUAAUGUCUCAGGGGUAUUACAGGCUUAGAACCAAGUUUUAUGUUCUUUUCUUUUACCAUAUCGUGCAAGCAAUGUAAAUUUCAAGUCCUAAAAUGGAAGCGGGCGUGUGGUUAGGAACGAUCAUGGAAUACAUUUUCCCCAUGCAAAGUAGGACAAAAACAGACAAGUUUCCUUGUUGUCUCAGUUUGCUGAUGAAUGGAUUUUACCCUAGCUAACUGUUUUGUUAAGUAUAUAGCUCUGCGGAGUGACAGUUUCAUAAGGGGGUUUCAAUUCUCAUUCUUCAUCUUAUGUGGGACCAAGGCUUUCUCUCUGAUUCACAAAAAACAUUAAAAUUCAAGUACUGUAUUAAUUGGGAUAUAUUAUUAGCAGCUUCAACAGAGACCCCAAAUAGCAGUAGCUUAGAUGGGAAAGUUUAGCUCUUUUUCAUAUGAAAGUCCAUGCUGGCACUGUGAAGUAGUCAGAGGUUCAGGUUCCUUCCAUAUCAUCACCUUAUCAUCCCUAGGGUGCUGACGUGGCCCGAAAGGGGUCUCAGCUAUGCCUAUGUUCAUGGGUCAAGCUGAAAGUCAUCGAAGGAUUGAGAACAAGGAUAUGGGAGAAAUAACAAGACAAGUCUCUGUAGAGACUGCAAUGCCUCUGCUCCAGUGGAGUUGAGAUCAGAUUUGGAUAAUCAAAGACAUGUGACACGAAUUCAGCACCCAUAGUAGAUGGUAAUUAAGCCCACAGCACUUCGAGUAGUGAGGAAACCAUCAGGCUAUGGGUGGUGUAGACAAGCUAAGUAGGUGUAAAGUAGUAAACAUAUUUGUGUAUAUAUAUGUGUGUAUAUAUAUAUAUACACAUAUAUAUGGUAUAUAUGUGUGUGGUAUGUCACUGUGGUGUGUGUGUGUAUGGUGUGCGUGUGUAUGUAUGUGUGGUGUAUGUGUCUAUGAGUGUGAGAUGCUGUACAUGUCUUUGUGUCUCUGUCUCUAGUGCAUGUGUUUGUACAGGUGUGUAGGGGUUAUGUGUGUACCAGUGUGUAUAUUUAUAUGUGUUGUGUGCAUGUGUGUCUAUCCAUGAGCUCUGUGAAGCUAGACCCUUUUUUCUGUCACCAUUCAUUGGAAUAAACCAUACCUUUAGGAUUAAAUUAUUUGCUAGUCAAUCAUAUUAAGUAUAAAUCUCAUUCCACAAACACACGUGUGCAUGAAAUAAAAUAUCGUUUUUCUUCAGCAGAAGUUAAUUUCCAUCAUAACUCCCAUCUCUUCCUCCUUUUGAGAUUGUCUGAGUUCCAGAGGACUCAUGUAGCACCAGCAUGUGAGACCUAGGACCAGGGCUGGGUGGGGGCAGCAGGAGGCAGGGAAACCUGUCCCAAUUUCGAGGGCCAGAGGUCUGGAAGGAGAUCUGGGCCCAGCUAUGCUGUGUAUCAUACAGUGGUGGUCGAGCACCUCUCAGAGGCCCUGCUUGGGACUUGGGUUGUGGAUUGUAGUCAUUUGCUGUUUUGGUUGUUGAUUCACUGGUGAGUGACCCCUUCUGUCCCUGCUCUUUGUGCUAGUUUAGUGCCACCCUUGGGCACAUGUGAGCCAACUGCUGUCAUGGAAAACUUGGUAAGUUCCGCAGCCCAGCUCUGCCAUCUUGCCACUUCCACAGAUCUCCCACUCACUCUGCUCUCUCAGACUGUGGCUUCCUGCCUGCCCCUCUCUGAGUCUCAGUCUGGAGCAGGCAUGGUGUACCUCUCCACAACCCACCAGUGUCAACCACUGCUGCUUCUCUGCUGUCCUUUACCUAACUGGGAGAACUUUAGUCUGGGUGAGGCAGGGGGCAGGGGGGAUGAGGUAAACUUUAUGUCCUCCCAUCAGAUACUCUUGCAAAUCUAAUGCACAUGCCCUGUGUUUUUCCUAUUGCUCCCAAGGCUUAGGCUUUUGGAAAUUAAAAGCCAAGAACUGACUCUUUAAAUGUUUUCUCAACUUUCCGCUGUGCCUCCUUAUCCCAGAGGCAAGGAUACUGUGCCAAGUUGACUGAUGCGGAAAGGACACAUGGUGGAAAGACAGAGGAGAAAAACACAUCAGAAAAUACAUCAUGAAGCAUAUGACCAUGCCAGGAGAACCUCAUGCUGCUACUGAAUAGGAUAAAAUAGCUUCCUGCAAUCAGGACUGGGGACCCUGUUUCACACAACAGUGUCUGGCACAUGUUUUUGCCCUAGAAGCCUGCAUAACCCCUGAGACUUGUCAUCAGUGUGACUAGCUGGGGCUGGUGUCAUGGGCAAUAAAGGAAUUUACCAAGACAGUUGUAGGUAUAGAAAGGCAGAAUUAUUAGAGAAGAUAUGAAAGUAUGUUGCAAGGUUGCAAUAGGCAGCACAGCAGAGAAGGGGCUACUUGCGAAGAGGCAGGGGCCGGAGGAGAGUUUACAGGGUCGUGCUGAAGGGGGCUACAAGUGGAAGAAGGUUGUGCUGCUGGGGCUACAUGUGGAAUAAGGUCAUUGUGCCUUUGGGUUGUUUGUAAUUAGCCAUCUCUCAGAAAAAUUAUUCAUGGUUCUCCCCACCUGGGGCCCCUUCCUCAUUGUUGCUUACCUUUCAGGACCCUACAUUCCACCCCAAGAGAAAACAAUGACAAAUCUUUGGCAUUGGGGCAGAGAACUCGUCUUCCAACUACUUCCUGCUGGCCUGGGGUGUAGAAUUGACCCUACCUAUGGUUGUUGGUCUGAUAGGAGACCCUGUAGGUCAUUGUCCCGGAUUGUGGUACUUAGGAUAUUGCAUCUUGCUGGAGGAAGGGACUCAUCACAAAGGGGGAACAUGUCAAGGUGAAACUGGUGUCUUGCAGAAUCCAGGGGAGAUUCAUAAAGGUAGCAGGCAUCCCUGGGGUGAGACAGAUAUUCCAUUCACAGCAUCAUUUGAAGGUGAAACUGCUCAAUUCCAGUAGGGGAAAUUUUGUUUCUUAAGCCAGUUACCAAAAAGGCAAAGAAAAACCUUUUGCAGUGUGACUGUUUGUCCUUAUUGGAAGCCCAUUUAGAUAACCUGGAAGUUGAACUCAAUGAAAAAGUGUUUAAAUUUAAUUAGACACAGCAUAGGGAACCAAUUUUAGAGAGACUACUAUACCUUAAUUACAUACAAUAUUCCUUUUAUAAAUUUCCAUUCAUAGAUUUUCUCAUGACUUAUGCAGACCAUCUAUGACACACUUGGACUUUCUGUCUUGUCCUAAACAUCCCUCUUUUUAAAACAACCAGUCAUUUUACUUUAGGCCAAGAAUUUACCAUACAAGAUCCUUUCUUAUAUAAAUCCUCUUUUCUACAACCUUCCUUACCAAAAAAUACCUCUUUACUUUUAUAACUUUUUUAUGUCUCUCUUAUUUCCUGAUUCCUUUGAUCUUGUUUAAUAUAAAACCUUUAAAUAACCUUUGAAUUAGACAAAAAUUAUUUUAUUUUGUUAGGAAGUUAAGGUUUGUACUGCAUAUUGCUGUGUUAAUACAUAUUGUCCAUGAAGGGGGAGCAAAUGAGGAGGUGAUCUACAUACUGUAGGUUAUCCCCCCUCAAGAAAUUGUUGGGUUAGAUUCUUGCUAGGACUUGUCUGAAUAAGUGUGAGCUAUUUUUAAAACCCUGAGUUAGGUAGGACUAUUUAGGUUGAAGUUAUUGGUUAAAGAUUUAGGUAGCUUUCCUGGGAGAAAUAGGACUAUUAGAGGGAAAGAUGAAUGCAGAGGUUGGGCAAAUAUUAAAGCAGGCACCCAUCUUGGAAAGUAUAUUUCCGUCCCAAAGGGGUAUGAAGUAUUUAGACAUUACUGGGGACUUGGGAGAAUGGUAAUUGGACCCUUCAGUAACAUAAAGAAAUGUGAAUCUUUUCUUUUGGAGGGAGGGGGUGUCAUUUGCUCCAAUUACCCAACAGGAUUUGGAGGAGAGUUGCUCAGAGAAGGAGAUUAGUACAGAGUAGGCAGCUCUUGAACCCAAAAGGGAAAUUUAUCAUUUUACUUUCCAUCUCUAGGGUUGUCCUUGGCUUUGUCUUGUUGAUGAUAAUGUUUGAUUUGGAAGCCAGCUGGAGCAGAGAGCCCCUUUCUCUCAGGGCCAUCAGAGGUUGGAAUUCUGUCCCAGGGACACUUCAGCUCUCAGGGCAGUCUUGUUUCCAGUGGCCAAGCUUGUGACAGAGGGGGCAAGACACAGAGGGCUUUUUCCGUUUAUUCCUUUGGGUCAGUUUGCUUUCCAGUGGCCUGGCCUUCUGCACUGGUGGCAGUUACCUGGAGGGAUGUUCUUAGGGCAACCUGGAAGGGGCUGGGGGCUUGUAAAGCAGCCAGCAGCUGAGCCUGCCUCUUGUCCCUUUGUUUUUCUUUCUUCUUAGCCCUGUCCUCCCUAUUCUGCUCUCAGUUAUAAAAAACUGAGGAGGCUAAUUUGAGGACUUCCUGCAAUGGGGCCAUGCUGUGUUACACAAGAAAACUAGAUGCUCCUUUUUGAGAAUCUGAGGAUUAAAUUUAUCCUAAUGUUUUAGAAUGUAACCCAGAGGUGGCUCUGAAUGAAAAGAUGGGGUUUGUCCCAUGGUGAGACUAGAAAACGACAAGCAACUGAGGAUGAUGUCUACUAGAGUGGGACACAAGUCGCACUUUCUCUUGGGGCAGGCAUCCCACUGAAGAAAGGGGUUCCACUCAAGUCCACUGGGGGACUUCUCAGAUGCAUUCCUAGAGGGGUGUCCCACCUAUUAGGAAGGAUCUCCUGGCGUAGGGCCUUACGCUGUAUGGCCAGUCCAGGCAUGAGGAAUGAGGGUGAAGGGAGAACUCAGCUGGAAAGCAACCUAGAAGAGGGGAGAGGAAUGGGGAGACUCACUGCUCUGUGGCCACUUGAGAUCACCUGAUUUGGGAACACCUGGAGCAGGAAGUCUGGCUGUCUUCAUGGGAGAAUUUAGAGUGAGAAAGAGGUGGUCCGAGUUCCCCAGAACAUGUGCAGGUUUGUCUUGGUUGAGCUUUCACCACCAAUCAUGCUAUAAGUAAGGAUUGGGGGCUUUUGACUAGAAAGGAUAAGAGAGAGCCUUAUUCCCUUCUGGGAAAGACAGCCAACCCUGUUUACCCCCUGGACUUCAGGCAACACCAGAGAGCAGCCCUGACCAGUUACUGUAAGUUGACAAAGGGAUACUAGACGUUGGCUGCUGGAAGACUGAAAAGGAGAAACUGAACUAAGGUCCCUCAUCUGAUCAGGUGAUGGUGGUAAGAUGCUUCCACAUGGACACCUUCUAGCUUCAUCAGGGUAUAGCCCUGCCAGAGACUGUCAGUUGUUUCUGUUUUUGUGUGCUGUCCACGAAGGGUCCCCAGUUGGAAGAGAGAAAGGGAAAGGGGAGAGAGGUCCCUGUAAGAGCCAAAGAAAUAUUGUAGGUGCGAAUAGCUGGGGCUGGUGUCAUGGGCCAUAAAGGAAUUUACCAAGACAGUUGUAGAUAAAGAAAGGCAGAUUUAUUAGAGAAGCUAUGAAAAUACGUUGCAAGGUUGCAAUGAGCAGCACAACAGAGAAGUGACUGUCUGCAAAUAGGCAGGGGCUGGAGGGAAGUUUUAUAGGGUCAUGCUGAAGGGGGCUACAUGUGGAACAAUGUCAUUGUGCCCACCAGUUGUUUGUGACUAGCCAUCUCUCAGAAAAAUUGGUCAUUGUUCUCCCCAACCUGGGGCUCCUUCCUCAUUGUUGCUUACUUAUCUUAUCAGGACUCCGUAAGACUAUUUGAAAUUUAUAGUGAAAACUAUGUAUAUUUCCCCAUCUAGUCUAACAGGUUGUAGACUUAUUUCAAAGUAACAGCAAAUAACACAAAUAUUUUCCCAAAUCCAAUAUUUACAGGAAAUGCACCAGUCUCUGAUCUGCCCCUGAUGUAAGUGUCAGAUGUGCUUCCAGGGCUGUGGCCCAUUCCUGUGGCUGGCCAAGGGUCCAGCCUGACCAACAGAACGUUGCUGUAACUCUAGGAAUGAGUGCACACUCAACCUGAGCCGGGGCUUAUUGGCUGUACCUCAGGGUUGCCAGCCUUUGUCAAGCUUCCUACUUUGUGGUCCUUCUGGCCUACACUCCUACGGCAGAUGGUCAGGGUCACCUUUCAUGAGAAGGGAAUAUGUAUUGGUAGCCAGGGGCCUGCAUGCCAUUUCUGGCACAAACACAUUGCAGGUUGCAAAUCCCUGCUUCACCUUUAUGAAAAUGGUAUUGAUGACCUUCAGGGCAGAGCAGUGUUUUCUUAAAGUAGCUUCUGUCCAAAGGUAAUAGACAUUAUUUGAAAAUAGGAUUCUGUGAUCAAAUCUCUUUAGCAGGUCAACUUCUCAGAGUCUGUAAUAUGCAACAGUGCAUCAUCAUACAUGUCCAAGAUGGGGGUAUUUAUAAUAUGCGAUGUGAACUAAAUUCACUUGGCCACUGAACACUCUGACCCUGAUAGGUCCCAGUGAUGCUGCUAGGUGGAACACGCUUUAAGGAAUGUUGUGUGGCACACCUCUCUUCUUACAAUAUAUUGUUCUGUGGCUCUGACCAUCUUGGUUUGGGGUUAGAGAAAAUAUUAGCUUGUCUAAGCUAAGUGACUGAGAAGCAGCAAUUUGCAAUCAUUAUGGAGGCAGCAACUCAUUAUUCCUGUAAAUUUCCAGGUAAAGAAAUCAAUGGCUGGGUUGUUGCCACGACUUAUUUCAGAGCUGAGUUUUUCUGGCUUUGUCUAAGGUCCAAGUUGUUUCUUUUAUUUAUGAUUUCUUUUUUGAAAUACAAGCACAAACUUCAAAACCCUAAAAGAUGGUGGAGACUGUGUAAAGUGCCUUAAUGUCUUUCCAGGUGAAAAAUCAGUAGCAAAUUCAUUAUUACAUUAUUUCAUCCACCUGCUAUUUAGUACCCACUAGGUACUGAGGCCUACAGAACAUAUAAAGUUGAAUAAAGCAAAAUCCCUACUCUUUAUUACAUUCUAUGCCAGCUCUGUCUGAUGUCUUCAGCCAUUUAUGGUCUAGAAAAUGUUACAGUAACACAUUUAUAGAUAAAGGGACCCAUCUGGAGAUGAAUGAAGUAAGUGGCUGCCACAGAUUUGCUGCUGUGAGGUGAAAAACUGUUCCAAGGCAGCAGGAUAAGGAAGGAAGAUGAUUACUUCCUUUCCACUUAAUUUCAAAAGAUCUGAAAUAAGGGCAUGGGACCCAUCUCAAGAUGAGUUGUUCAAUAGAUGUGAGGAUCCAGGCUUGGAAAUGUGAGCAUUGUGGACAAAAGGAGGCUAACUCCACCAACAGCUCAGAGCCAGUGAUUCCAGGUGAUCUAAACCUCUUUGUUCACUGUUGAAGACAGCAUCUCUUAGAUUUCCUAAAUCCCACCGUUGGGAACAGCCAAGCCAGUGUUUCAUUACAAUCUUGGCCCUAAAACAGCAUAGUUCAUCCAAGAAUGACAGGGUUUUAUGAACAGAAAUUAGGCUUUGGACCAAGUUUGUAAUAAAUCUUAAGCUUCAUUAUAUAGGUGAGGAAAAAUGACCAACUGCUGGAUGACAGAUUUGCCAUGGAGCAAGAGAAUAGACUCUGUGCCAUUUCAGGAAGGUUCCACGGCAGAUUUUCACUGACUUGUGGGGUGACUUUCUUUGGGGGCAGUAGUGUGGAAGGAGGAUAAUAAAAGGCAAAGGAUAAAGAGAGGAGCAGUUUGGGGUGGAUGUUCCCUUCAUUCACUGCUCCAUCAAAAUCACUUGAACCCCCAAUGAAUGGUAGCAUUAUAUGAUGCUUAAUACAUCUUAAAGGAGAAAACCAAAUCAUUUUUUUUCUAUUCAAGUCUAAUGAAGAUCUAUGUGAAAAAUGGAGUUUUCUCUCUUACUCAAAAUGAACAAAAGGUCUGUUAAUAAUGUUAGGAUGUGACCUCACUGAGGUUAAAAAUAUUUGCUUAUGUAAAAAAUGGCAGGUAAACCAUUCAGGACUAAUGUAAGCAACAAGAAAUAUAAGAGAGAAGAGGAAAUGAAAAUGCAGUGGCAACAACAGACUUGGAUUAACACCAGUAUUUUCAAAAGAGCCCAAACAAUUUCAGAUUCAAUAGAAACCACUUUGCCAAGGACUCCGAUGCAUUUCAUCUAUCAGCAGGCUUGCUGCCGUUUCCUAAAGAACGCCCCUGGGAUCUGCCGUUUCCCCUUGGUUCCUAUGCCAAAGCCAGCCCUGUUCUCUCUUCCUCAUACUGUAGCCAUCAUUGUGUGGCCACAAAGCUGCCAGGUCGCUCUGUAUGCUGCCACUGUUAUAAACCACCCUCAUGCACUCAUGCAUUUUUUUCUCCAUCUGUAAUGAAGGACAUUACAGAUCAUUUAUGAGAUGACCAUUGCUGAGCCUAAACAAGGAAACUCAGACUGGUCCUGGGUUGUUUGGUGACCUGCUGAGGCCCACAGGCCCACAGAUAUUUGAUUUCUUUUUUGGAAUCUUUUCUUUUUGGAAUCUUUUGCUCUGACUGAGAGGGAGACGUGAUGCCUAGAGUUGGGGAGUUCUAGGUCUCAUUGGAAGGGAUGUGGGGGGCUGUGCCCUUCUCUGGUUCCAUGGACAGUUUUCUGAGCUCUUCUAAGAAAGAAGGGUGAACAACAGAAGCUGGGGAAGUUGCUUUUAUAAAAUGACCCAUGAUGCUGGGGUAUGACUAUAUGAUGGAAGGUGGAGGUGAGAUGCCCAGAGAAUGCUGCUUGGUCUUCCCCUCCCCGCCCCCAGGUGACAGUGUGUUGCAGACGUGUUUCCUACUGCUACAGAAAACUCAGCCUCUGCCUGGUCACAUGUGGCAUGGCAGCUUUGAGAACAGAAGCCUGUGAUGAAGCAACUACAGGUUGGCCAGGAACCUGGUAUAGAUUAAUGAGUGGGUAAUCAUAUACUCUAUCUGGGAGUAUAUGAGGGAGAAUGAACUCAAAACAUUGAAAAGAAUGAGCCAAUUGGGAAUUUGAGACAGAGACUGCUAGGGCCCACCAAUAUCUGGGUGCUCUGCUCCUUCUGUGGGCAUAGCUAGACAACAUUUCCCCACCCCCUUGCAUCUAGAUGGGACCAUGCAAUUAGUCCUGGCCAGUGAAAUGUGGCUGGAAGUGUUGCACACCACUUCCAGGCCUGCCUUCUUAAAUCUUCUGUGAGAUCAUACAUAGUCUCUCUUUAUUUGUCUGCUGGCUAGAUGCAGAGGAUCUAGGAGAGAACUCUGAAGUCCUAGAGGGUAGCUGAGCCACAAGAUGGGAGGAACCUGGAUCCCUCAGUGACUGUGUGGACCAGUCUCUCAUACCAUACUACAUCCCCAUCUUUACUGCAUUGUGAUACAGAGGAAAAAAUUAAAACUUUGUUAUGUGAAACCACUGAGAUUUGGAGCUUGCUUGUUACAGUUGAAGGAAACCAAAACAUUUCUCCUCAAAACACUGAGGAUUGCUAAGUUAAAAACACUAAAAAUGCAGGGGAACACUCUGCCUCAGCCUCUAUUUGCUUGACAGCAGGACAUAAAUCCUUCCUUACUGGACACUUGCUUAUUGGCCCAGAGAAGGCAGCAGGAGGCACCAGAGGAAUCUGGAAAUAGAUUCUACUAUUUUCCACUUUCUCCCGCCUUUUCAAAGACGGGAAUGUCUCUCUCUUUUGUCUUGACACUAUGUACUAUUUAUGGCUCUUUGUUAAAACAUUAUUUAAGCAAAGCCUCUAAGCCACUGCCUCGAGAGAGAAAUACUUUUGAGGCCUCUCCCACAUGACAGGUACAGCACUUGUUAAUAAACUUCUGCUUCUUUUUCUUUUAUUAUUGUGACUUUUGUUUUUAGGAGAGUGUCUCAACUAAGAACAUAAAAAUGCAAAGAAAUAAAUUAUGUUUUCUCCCUUCCAUAGUCGUUACCAUACUGACUAAUACAGAACUGAAGCUGAAAAGCCAUGAUGUAGAGAGAGGGGCCAAGAUUAUCUAUUUCCUUCUUGAAAGUUUUUCCCUGAACUUUCCAGAAGUACAAAUAAGAGUAAAAACAUAUCCCUGGACACAGGAGCUGGCGACCUAACUGGCUUGUUUUGAGUUUAAAUUUCUUCUUAAUGCCCUGAAUGGAAAUAUUUGACUUCCUCUCUGUAAUAUAUUCAUGUUUGCUUCAAUAUAAAAAUACUAUUUAUAAAGAUUUAGCCCUCAAGUUAAAUGGACUUUUAACCUGUGCCUUGGCAUCCGCAUGUAAUAGUCACAUUUAAGUUUGGCUCCAAAGAUUACUUCCCUCCCUCUUUCCUGGUCAUUUGGUAAAAAGCAAAGCGACUUCAUGAAACCACCUAUGUAGGGGUUCAGUAAGUUAGCACUCUUUAGAUUUCAGAUGCCUGCUUUCAUUCUUUAAAAACAAAAAUAAAAACAACUUUGAUCCAUUUUUUAAUACUGAUGUUAUAAUAUUAAAAUGUUUAAUAACUUGGUUUGACAAAAAACAGCAUAUUUUUUAAAAAGUCUCGAGAUUUGUUAAACAAUACAAAAUUACAAGGCCUGGUGUGGUGGCUCAUGCCUGUAAUCCCAGCAUUUUGGGAGGCUGAGGUGGGCAGAUCACCUGAGGUCAGGAGUUCAAGACCAGCCUGGCCAACAUGGUGAAACCCCAUCUCUACUAAAAAUACAAAAAUUAGCUGGGUGUGGUGGCAGGUGCCUGUAAUCUCAGCUACUUGGGAAGCUGAGGUAGGAGAAUCACUUGAACCUGGGAGGCAGAGGUUGCAGUGAGCUGAGACCGCACCAUUACACUCCAGCCUGGCAACAAGAGCGAAACUCUGCCUCAAAAAAAAAAAAAAAAGAAUAUGAAAUUACAGCUAGAUAGGAGGCAUGAGUGCUAGCGUUCUAUAGCACUGUAGGAUGACAAAGUUAACAAUAAUAUAUCACAUAAUUUUAAAUAGCUAGAAAGAGGAUAAUGAAUGUUCCCAACACAAAGAAAUUAGAAAUGUUUGAGAUGAUGGAUAUGCUAAUUACUUUGAUCUGAUCACCUAUACCUUAUAUGUAUUGCAACAUCACUAUGUACCUUAUAAAUAUGUAUAAUUAUUAUAUGUCAAUCAAAAAUAACAAAAUACAUUGUCUGGACUUUUUAUUGAAGCUAUGUCCUUCUUUGGGGUGGGGCAGCCAAGGUGUGAGAUGGCGAAUGCCUUUUUGCUACCUUGUAUUUACAUCUCAGUGAAUUUUCCUCGUGUUCUAACUUGGGUCAGACUGCCUGGGAGGGUGAGACUUUAGGCCAGAAUCACAGCCUGGACCCUGGAGAGUCCUCUAAGCCAACACUUGACCUUCAAACAGGAAUCCAUCAAGACUACCUUAGAUCAGGGAGGAGACACCUGAGCCAACUCUUCGCCAAACUGGAAACUCCCCAUUCUCUUUAUGUUUUCUCUCUCUCUCUCUCUUUUUUUGAGACAGGGUCUUGCUCUGUCACCCAGGCUGGAGUGAAGUGGUGUGAUCUCGGCUCACUGCAGCCUUUGCCUCUCAGGUUCAAGCAAUUCUUGUGCUUCAGCCUCCCUAGUGGCUGGGAUUACAGGCGCCAGCCACCAACCCUGGCUAAUUUUUGUAUUUUUAGUAGAGACAGGGUUUCACCCUGUCAUGUUGGUCAGGCUGGUCUUGAACUCUUGACCUCAAGUGAUUUGCCCGCCUCAGCCUCUCAAAGUGCUGGGAUUACAGGCGUGGCCUGUAUGCCCGGCCCCUUUAUGUUUUCACAGUGUCCUUCUUGGCUACUCCUUAAUGAUUUAGCUGGAUGAAUCUCUGAGAAAUUCACUGUCCUCGGCAGCACAAGCUUGCUGAGCUGCUGCCAUCAGCCAAGGGGUGAGUGUGAGAAAGGAGUGGCCCUUAGACCCACUUCUCCACGUCUCAUCUUAAUUUUAUCAUACAGUCUUUACCAUAGACUUAACAACCAUUAUGUUAAUAUAAUACCUUGAGAAAAGUUGUUGGAACCCAAAAUAAUUGAAAGCAGUGACCUGAAGAUAUAUUGGUAUGCCCACAUUCAUAGCAGCAUGAUUCAGAACAGUCAAAAGGUGGAAGAAGCCCAAGUGUCCAUCGACGGAUGAAUGAAUGAACAAAAUGUGGCAUACUCAUACGAUGGGAUAUUAUUAUUCAGCCUUAAAAGGGCAGGAAACUCUGACACAUGCUACAACAUGGAUAAACUUUGAAGACAUUAUAUUAAGUAAAAUAAUUCAGUCUCAAAAAGACAGAUAUUGUUUGAUUCCACGUCUAUGAGGUACCUAGAGAAGUUAAACUCACAGAAGAGGAAAGUAGAAUGAAUGGUGGUUGCAGGGGCUGGGGCAGGGAGGAAUGGGGGUUAUUGCUUAAUGGGACUGAGUUUCAGUUUGGGAAGAUGAAAAAAGUUCUUGAGAUGGAUGACGGUGAUGGUAGUACGACAAUGUGAAUAUACUUAAGGCCACCGGACUUAUACUCAAAAGUGGUUAAAAUGGUUAAUUUUAUGUUAUGUGUAUUUUAUCACAAUUUAAGAAAGUUGUUGAAGAGUCAUAACAUAGGGAGAAUGUGUUGGGGUGGAGGCAAAGAUUCCCUCGCCCCCUUCUCAUCCCCAGAUACAACUCUGCAGUUGGAGUAAUGUAUUUAGUUUAAUGUUUUGUUUGCACACAAGCACGCAUUUCAUAAUUUAUUUUGCUGCAUUGGGCUUCUGAGCUAAGGGACUAAAAUGGUAAUUUCCCAUUUUUUCUUCACAGAAAAGAGCCAGGCUUUUGCAUCCUUAAUUUCUGUGCUCCCUUGCGCCAUGGGGAAUGAUCAGCUUUUCUGUGUCUUACAGGCUACUGAAAAGACCACCAUCUUCCCAGGUCUUUAUCUGGUUGUUCAGGACCCAUCUAGGGAGCGUCAGGGGUUGCACAAAAUGGAGAGGGUUUGGAGCAGCGGGGUGCAUCGUAGGAACUUGAGAUGAGGCUUUUGAAGGGCUGGAAGAAGUUGCGGCCUUAAUGCUAGGAAGGGUUUGGGGUUGGUGGAUUUUGUGGGGCCCCAUUGAGAUAUUAUGUUAAUACCUGGGAGAAAGGGGGAGCCCCUGGUUGUAGCAAAGGUUUUCAAGGCAGGGUCUGUGGUUAGCAGGGAGGUGCCCCAUUCAUGCACACUAUGGCAGGUGGUGGGGAGAAGUGCCCUCCUAGGAUAUCCAACCAACACUGGCAGUGGCAGCGACAUGACAAAAGGCGCACCCAAGACAACCACCAUGGGUUAAGGAACAGGCUGCAUCUUUAUUUUUCAGGACCAGCUAAGCUUCCUGUCCUUGUGCCAGUCACUGAAGGGAGCAGAGGGAGCCUGGGCUUAGGGGGCAGGGGAGGAAUAAGCACUCAGAGCUGGGCAUGAGUCAGCUGGAAAGAAACAAAGAAGCGUGUCACUGCCCACACCUUUAAUAAGUGCCUUGGAAUGCUCCCGGCUCUCACAGUGGCGCAUGUUUUACUCUGCAUCCCAUCUGUGGCUUCUAUUGUCUUCUCACACUGUGGGACACUUAAGGAGAUGUGACAGAUGGCUGUGUGUGUGCUCCGUCCCUACAGGCAGUGUGCAUUUUUAAAAAUUCCUUUUUCUUUAGUGAAAAAAAAAUGAUUUUUCUUUAUAGCAAAAGCAAUACAUUGUUUUGCUAUUGUAGAAAAGUAUGAGAAGAAAAUGAAAGUCUCCCAUAAUGCAACAGUGAUUCAGAUAAUCACUAUUACCGUUUUCAUGUAUUUCCUUCCCAGGGUUCCUCCCGCAUUGUUUAAUCUGUCCUUAGCCACGGUUCCUCUUCAGGUCUCGCUGCCCCGAGUGAGCUGAUGGACCUGUGGUCAACCUUUCACAUUCCCCAGGCACAGGUUCCCACAGUAGCACACUGAAUUAGGAAGGUGGCAUGUGACACAGAACAGAGAAAAAGCUUACCUGCCUACAGGGGACAUCGACUUACCACUGUCUCAGCUGAUUCCUCACCAACCACACCUAAUCUCGAUCCAGGCAGUUUAGUUGCCAUUGAGCUGGUUUCAAAAGUUUAUCGGAACUUACACAACAUUUAUUUUUAAAAACAAGAUUGUAAGGGUGGUUAGGUUGGCAGGCCAGCUCACAAAAACUGAGGUGACCAACAAGGUAACUUAGAAAUCAUUGAUAACAGUUCUGAACACAGAUUCUAACCCCUUCUAAAUUCUGGUCUCUCUGAGACUCAAGUGCCAUGUCUGGAAUCCCUCCCCCUUAUUUGGGGCCCCUCUAAAUCUCCAUGGUGUGUAGGUUCCACUAGGCAGAUGGCAGUGAAAGAUCAAAAGCAAGGUGAGAGAACUCAGAUGGGAGCGGCAUGGUAUCAUCUACGAGUGCACUGCUGCUCAUUUGGGAGUCGGAGUUGAAACCACAGGCUUUGGAGUCAGUCCUGCCCCAGGUUCAAAUUCCAGCUCUGCCUUUCAUUAACUGUGUGGGUUUGGGCACACCACUUAACCUGUUUAAGUCUUGGUUUUUUCAUCUGUAAAAUGUGAAAUAGGCCAGGCACGGUGGCUCAUGCCUGUAAUUCCAGCACUUUGGGAGGCCGAGGUGGGUGGAUCACCAGAGGCCAGGAAUUCAAGAGCAGCCUGGCCAACAUGGUGAAACCCCGUCUCUACUAAAAAUACAAAAAUUAGCCAGGUGUGGUGGUGCACACCUGUAAUCUCAGCUACUCAGGAGGCUGAGGCAGGAGAAUCGCUUGAACCUGGGAGGCAGAGGUUGCAGUGAGCCAAGAUCACGCCACUUCACUCCAGCCUGGGCGACACAGCAAGACUCCAUCUCAAAAAAAAAAAAAAGUUAAAUAAUACAUCUUUCUAAAGAUGUUUGUGAAGAUUAGAGGAGACAAGACAUCAUUUGUCAGACUUGAGAAUGACAUAUCUUACAGAUGCCCACUGCUGAUGUGAACUAUUUAUGUUAGACCACAAAUAACUGAUAAGUAUGUGAGUUAAUACAUAUGUUAAUUAGCUUGAUUCAGCCAUUUCACAAUGUGUACAUAUUUCAAAACAUGUUGUGCACCAUAAAUAUAUAAAACUUUUAUUUGUCAAUUUAAAAAACAACAAUUCUUCCAUACUGACAAAUAGACUCUUACACAACUAUAAAGCCAAAGGCAAGUUUACAAAUAAAUAAAAACCAAAAACAAGCCAACAAAGUUAAAACUGAAGUGUGUUGGAUGAUGUUAUUUUGCUGAAAUUAAUUGAGCUUCUCGAAAUGUUGGUUUCUAGUGAUACCAGGACAUGGUUCUUUAGAGCUUGGCAUCCUUAGACUACCAUAUACUCAAUGAUGAUUUUACUCACCCAAACCUUUCCUUAGUCUAGUGGUUGUAAACUGGAGGACCGUAGGCUGUAUGUAGUCCGUGAACAUGUUUUAUUUAAUUCUCACAGUGUUAAUUUUUUCAAUUUAUUGCUAUUAUAGAAGAAUUUAAAAUUUUUAUGUAAAAUUUGCCUUUCCAGCUUCUCUUGAAAAGCUGGAAAAUCAAGCCCCACAGGGUCCAUAUUUCCAAGAGGCCACAAGGUCGAAGCUGAACAAUAGCCCCUAGAAGCCUGAGCCUGGGCUUCUAGUCUGCCCCUGACUCCACACCACCAGCUUCAUUCAUUCAUGGACCCUACCAACUCCUAUAGGCAUUUAGGUUUGUGAUGCCUUCUCUAUGUGGGUUAGUGAAAAGCAUCUGUCCUUUCUUCACCAGCCAGUGACAAUUAAAACAGCACUUCCAGAUACCAACAAAAGAUAAGAAACCCAAGUGCCAACAGUUGCUGAAAUGAGCAGUCCAUAGCUCUAAGGUGCCCAUCCAGAAGACCUGGCCAAUACACUUCUGUGAGAGCAUUUUGAAAUUAUUAUUGAAAUAGAAAUAAAAAAUGUUUAAAGUAUCUUAGGGAAUUCUUAGUCCCUCUGGGAUCCCUGAACCCCAGUUUGAGAACCACUGAGUUAAGGAUGUCAAGGACUUAGAACAGUGCCUGGAAUAGAGAAAAGACCUAAUAAAAAGGCAGGGUGAGGAUCUGGAUGGCAAAGCCUGAACAAUGGGAGAGCGAGUGCUCUCUAUGGGCUGCCCACCUGACUCUCGAGCCACUGGGGUAUGUUCACUGACGUUCAACUUCUGGUUCACAAUGGUUUGCAGAGCCCCUUCUUUGGGAUUGUCCUCCACUCUGAGAGCUCUAUCCUUAAGAUUUCAUCCUCCUGGACUUUAUUACAGGGACCAGGGUAGCAGAAGAGGGCUCCUCCCUUCCUCCCUCGGAAAAGACACCACACACUUUUAGCUUCUUGGAGUCACUGCAUUCAGCUCGUUAAUCUGUGCCUUGUGGAAAUUUGGAUACACAAUUGGAGUCAGGGCCUCCUGGAAAUCAACUGGGUAAGGCAUUUGCUGAUUUGUUUCACAUCACUUUACAAAAGGGGGUGGGAGAGUUAGGUGAGAUACUGUGCUUAUUUGAUUUGAACAGUCUUAGAGAAAUCACCAAUACCAGAGAAAGGUAGGAGUAUAGGCCUGGUGAUCACUCGCCAGAAUCACAGGAUGCCAUUGCGCAUUGUCUAGGGUAGGGACACAUUUCUAAAUCCAAAGUGCCCAAUAAUAAUCAGGAUCAGGUUGAUCACUAGCAAAGGGUGAGCCCAUGCAUGGCCUGAGCAUUGCUGAGAAGUAAAUGAAAAGAGAAAAACCCAAAACUAUAAGACGUAGAAGUUCAUUUUGCCUUUGUAGAUCAAAUCGAGUUUCCAGGGCAGGCAACCUUUGGAGAGCCACAUCUGAGUGUGCACCCUUUGAAGUUUCUUUGCUAGCUUAGGAGGAAUGGAUAGUAAUGAGAAUGAAGACUCAAGGAGGGAAACAUGGGGAAGAAGUGGUGCCUGAGUCUUGCAGGAGCUGCCGGAGGAGGCCGGGAGGAAACUACACAGGGCAGAGGAAGGGGAGAGAGGGAUGAGAGCCCUUCAAGUACUUCUCUGAGUGUUGGCCAGGGAGAGAGAGAGAGGCUGCUUAAGGGCAGGACGGUAUACAGGAUUCACUCACAGAAGCCAGUCAAUUCCUCAUUGUCAAAACCAACAGCACAUGCUACACGGGGCACAAUCAUGCCUAGUCCUACUCCACUAUGUCAGCAAAGAGGCUCACCAACCAUGGGGAAGAAGCCUUCUCUCCAGUGGCUGGUGCUGCCGAGAACCAAGUAAGGGACUGUCCAUGUGUUAUCAAUUCAGGUGUCACAAAUACACUUGUCGUCCUUACAGUCUGUCCCAGUGGCCAGAUGGACAUUCCCAUAGGAAGAAUCACACUGUGUCCUCUACGUGGUGAUAAACAAAGGUUUGAUGAAGUCAGGACAUUGUCCUUGAAGGCCUUUGUUGAAGCAUACAUGUAUUACUUAGGAAGGUCACCUGGGAGCAUGUUCUCGGCCACUAACACUUGCCUAAGAAUUGCUUUGUUACGUUGACCUAGGGUGGUUUUAGCGAGGGUGAGUGACAGAGGAGGGCGACACAGACACAGGAGGGAUGAGUCUGCAUAGGGAGGAAGGGAAGGAGAAGCAAACAGUCUGCAUCCUGGGGUGAAGCGUGAGAAGGAACACAGCGUACUGCAGGGGUCCUGAGGGCCCAGAGUACUGGAAGAUGCUGAUCGCCAUCUUUGCAGAUAGAAGUAACGACCUGCCACUCUUGUCCACUUAACCAGACCUAGUGAAAGCUCCACCUGCCCGCGGUGACGGAAGGAUGCCUCUAUACUGAUUGCCCAGGACAGCAGCCUGAGGGGACAAUGGAGAGGAGAAAGAAUCCCUAAGUUUCCUUUAGAAGCAAACACCUCCCAUUUUGCAGAUGAAUAAACUGAGACUCAGAAAAGUCUUGGACUAAACCAGGGAUCCACCCCCCACCCCGCCAAGAAAAGUAAUAUUUUAUACGUGUUAAGCAUUUGCAGGAACUUCUGGGUCUGUUCUCAUGAAUUUAAACUCUGGACCAGGUCUGUCUGAAUUUGCAGAAAUAUUUAGUUUCAUUUGUGUUUCUUCAUGUUAACUCAUGUGCUAAGAACAAUACCGAGAAUUCUCUAUGGUAUAUUUCUGUCAUGGGGCCAGCUGUGGAACAAGAAACAGAAGGAACAAGAAGCAAGAAAAGACCUUCAAAGUACCUUCUGACCGGCAUUGCUGAAUUCCAGAGCCCAGGAUUCUGGAGAAAACUCUGCCUUCAGUUCUCAUAAAAAUCGGUGAGCCUGGAGGAAUGAAAAGUCCUGUAAGUGAGAGAGGACAUUUAAACCUAGAGUAUAGUUCCUCAGAUAAGCAUUUCCCUUUAUUAUCCUGGUUUUCUUCACCUGCACAGGAGAAGUGAAUUCCAAAGCAAUUCUGGUUUUGCACCACUUAAUGCUUCAGUAAAAACCUCAGCUUUAGUCGUUGUCAUGGGCUGAAUCGUGUCCCCAUGAAGAUAUGAUGAGGUCUUAUUCUCCAGAACCUCAGACGUGACCUUUGAAAAUAGGGUCAUUGAGAUGUAAUUAGUUAGGAAAAGGUCAUACUAAAGCAGGUGAGCCCUUAAUUUAAUAUGGCUGGUGUCCUUAUUUUAAAAAUGAUAUGAAGAUACAAGGGAAGAAGGCCAUGUGAUGAUGGAGGCAGAGCUUGGGCUGACACAGCCGCAAGCCAAGAAAUGCCCAGAGCUGCUGCAACACCAGAAGCCAGACAAGGCCUGGAGCAGAUGUAACCUCAGAGCCCCCAGGAGAAACCAGUCCUGCUGACACUGUGAUUUCAGACCUCCAGCUCCAGAACCAUAAGGGAAUAAAUUUCUGAUGUCUUCAACUACCCAGUUGGCAGUAAUUUGUCAGGACAGCCUUAGGACACUAAUAUAGUCACCUUGCAUAGAAUUGGACCCCAGAAAAAAAUGAACUGGACAUGACCAUAACUGAAAGGUAAGAGACUAGGAAGAGGAUUAGCCCCAGUCCCCAAAUGGCAAAUAGGGGGUCCAAAUGCCACCAGUCCCCAUUGCUUGCCCUGGUAGACAUGACUGAAUGAUUAGGGUCCUCUCCCACAGGGCCAGGCUAAGGCCUUGCAGGACUUAGCACAGUGCUUCAGCUGCCACUAAGUUCGGAGAUUCUUGCCCUCUUCUAUUCACUCUGCUUCAAGUUAUACUUUAGCUCCCUUGUACUUCCUUAAUCUACUGUCGACUCUUUUUCUAAGUUUUUAGUGAGCACUGGGUAAAUUGUAACACCAGAAAAAUUGCACGGCUGGGUGACAGGAUGGGAUGUAGGGUCCAGCCCAGGGGUGGGGUAUGGUUGCCAAGAGAGAGGAAGCCCAGUGUAACCAGGAAACAUGUGGGUUUUAUACCCAUUCUGCCCCAAAAUUUGAACCAACAGGCAUGAUAGACAGCAUUCAAAAAGACAACGCUGCAAGUAUCUAAGCGUGAAGUCUUUGUUCUUGCUUGGCCAAUUAAAAGCAAAACUGUUUUUCUUUUAAGGCAAAAAGAAACCUAAAUAAUACUCCAGUCUUUAACAAAGCUGUCUGCAGAAGCAAAGAGUUUGCGCAGUCUGAGUUUUUACUAAUGUGCAUUGCCUUGCCGCAGGCUCGUUCCCGGCAUGGUAUGAAAACCUGUAUGUACUCCAGUUCUCCUUGCUGUGCCGCCUGUGGACAGCGGCAUCAGUGUUUUGCUGGCCAACAUUUUUCUGCCUUUCAUCUCACUGCUGUUCUACUGACACUAAUCUCAAAUGAACUUUAAACAAAGGCUUGUCUUGUCAUUGCACCCACUUAACUUGCUGCAAUCUGUCUGUUGUCACAUUUCUGUCUGUCCUUAGAUCUUCGGGAUAAACUGACUUUAAAUGUGAUCAGACCUUAUGUCUCUUCAUCUGUCAUCUUCAUGCCCUUCACACUGACAUGCAGUGUGCACCUUUUUAACCAUGUGUUUACUGCUGGUGCCAUUUUCUCCCCAUUUACUUCCUACCAUUCUGAUAUUUGCAUUGCAUUAAUAUGCAAAUUAAACAAAAUGAAAUGCUUCUUAAUUCAGUUGAGAAUUCACGGUUCUAAGCCUGAAGGCUGGCUGAUUUAUUUUUAAACAGAUUUUUAUAACUCCAAGUUUUGCUGCUGUGUCAGAAAACAAGAACAUCCCCAGAUGUUUUCUGCCUUUUCUUUUUCCCUUCCUUCCUCUUUCUGUUUCUUACUUCAAUUCAUAUUUAUUUAUUUACUGACAUUAAAACAUACAGAAAAUUUACCAUUGUAACCAUGUUAAAGGGCACCAUUCAGGGGCAAUAAGUGCGUUCACAUUGCUGCCCAACCCUUGCCUUUUUCCAUUUCCAGAACUUCUUUAUCAUCCCAAACAGGAACUGUGUACCCAUGCAAAAUAACCCUCAAGUUCUCCCAAUACCCUAGGCUCUGGCAACCACCAUUCUACUUUUCAUUUCUAUGAAUUUAAAUUCUUUAUUUCUUCUAAAAUUACUGUUACAUUAUGUGGGCAAAGUCAUACUGAUAAUACAUUUAUAAAAGUUAAUCAAUUACUCUUACCUCACACCAGACACAAAAACUAACUCAGAAUGGACCUCAGCACAGAUCUAAACAAAUGUGAAAGCUAAACUAAGAUGUCUAGAAAAAAACACAGAAAACAAUUUUGCAAUCUUAAGGUAGGCAAAAGUUUCUUAGGAUACACACACACACACACACACACACACCAACCCAUAAAAGAAAAAAAAUGAAUUAAACUUUGCACUUUGAAAGACACUAUGCAAUAGAAUGGAGAAAACAUUCACAGUACAUUUGUCUGACAAAAGAUUUGUAUACAGAAAACAUAAACAAGUAUUACAACUCAAUAAAAAGAAGAAAAACAACAAAUUUUUAAAAACAGAUACAGAUUUGAAAAGACAUUUGAUAAAAGAGGAUACAUAAAUGACCAAUUAGCUCAUAAAAAAUGUUUCAUAUAAUUAGUCGUUAACUAAAAUAAAAAUUAAAGAUGGCUAAAAUUCCUUUUGUAGCUUUUUUGAGGUAUAAAUGACAAAUAAAAAUGAUGUAUGUUCAAGGUGUACAACAUGAUGAUUUCAUACAUGUAUACAUUGUGAAAUGAUUACCACAAUUAAAUUAAUUAACACACUCACCUCACAUAGUUACCAUUGUGUGUGUGUGCAUUUAUGUGUGUGUGGUGAGGACACUUAAGAUUUAUUUUUAGCAAUUUCAAGUAUAUAAUACCGUAUCAUUAACUAUAGUCACCAUGCUGUACAUAAUAUCCUCAGAACUUAUUCAUUUUAUAACUACAAAUGGUUGAAAUUUAAAAGACUGACAAUACAAAGUAUUGACAAGGAUGUGAUGCAAUUGGAACUCUCAUACAUUGCUGGUAGAACUGUGAAAUGGCAUGGACAUUCUGGCAAUUUAUUUAAAAAUUAAAGCAUUCAGAUUUCCAGUCCAAGAUGUAAGGCGCUUAGGAGCCACUUCAUCCUAACAACAAGUAAAAUGCUGAACAAACUGAAAAAUCAACAACUGUGAUCUGUCAUUGAAGUGGGGUCACAAGGCAAAUUACUUUAAAAAUUGAAGAGACAGACAAGUGGAUACAGAGAAUCACAAGUUACCAGAGCAGAAACCCACAAACAGAAAGCCCCGUGGAAACCAAUGCUGAGAUAGAAAAACUUGAAGUAUAACUGAUGAAUCGCUGGAGGCUUAGUGUGAAUAAGUCUAUGAGUUAAAAACUCCAGGGGGACCUGGCCGGGUGUGGUGGCUCACACACUUUGGGAGGCCAACGGGGGCGGAUCACCUGAGGUUGGGAGUUCAAGACCAGCUUGACCAAUAUGAUGAAACCCUUUCUGUACUAAAAAAUACAAAAAUUAGCUGGGCAGUGGUGGUGCACACCUGCAAUCCCAGCUACUCAGGAGGCUGAGGUGGGAGAAUCGCUUGAACCCAGGAGGCGGAGGGUGCAGUGAGCCAAAAUCGUGCCACUGCACUCCAGCUUGGGUGACAGAGGGAAACCCUGUCUCAAACAAAAAAACAAACAAACAAAACCCACACACACAACACAACUCUAGGAGGACCCAAUCCUUUUGCAAGGCUUAUGCCCUGGAGCUCUACCAGGUUCUCACAGCAAGGAUCAGAGAAAAAUCCUCUUGUGUUUUCACCAGGGAGAGAAAAGUGGCCAUUUUGAAAUAUACCGGCCUUCUUAAGAAGUACUGUCCUAAUAAGAAACUGUUUCACUAGAGCCUAAGCUAUUGCGUUUUUGCCAGAGCCUAACCAAACUGAGGGAAAGUAAUUAUCCAACUCCAGCCCCUUCAGCCAUCCUUUCUCACCUAAGGUGGGUAAAAGAAACUGAGAGGAAUUUGUAAAGUUUCUAGCCAAGGGACGGAGGUUCACUAGAGGACUGAGACCUAAACAUAGGACUGUAGAGCAGGUCCUCUUUCCCCACUGUGUACUACCAUAUUACUAAAGGUUUAUUUACUGUGGUUCCUUUCACCCAGUACUUCAUGUCUGGCUUUCUACAAAAAAAUUACAAGGUGUACAAAAAGGCAAAAUGACAACAACAAAAAACAAAAACAAAAACCAAACUAACAAAAAAACACAAAAGCACAGUUUGAGGAGACAGGGCAAGCAUCAGAACCAGAUUCAGAUAUGCAGGAAUAUAGAAAUUAUCAGAUUGUGAAUUCAAAAAUCACAGUUGUGAUUAAUAUGCUAAGGGAUCUAAUGGGGAAAAAAAGGCAGCAUGCAAGAACAGAUGGAUAAUGUAAGCAGAGAGAUGAAAACUCUAAGAAAAAUCAAAAAGAAAUGCCAGGAAUUUUUUAAAAACUGUAACAGAAAUAAAGAAUGCCUUCGAUGAGCUUAUUAAUAGACAGACUGUACAUGGCUGAGGAAAGAAUCUCUGAGCUUGAGGAUAUGUCAAUAGAAACAUCCAAAACUAAAAAGCAAAGAGAAAAAAAGACUAAAAAUAAAAAAUAUAAAAGGAACAAGAUCUGUGAGACAGCUACAAAAGGUGUAAAUCCAUGUAAUUGGAAUACCAGAAGGAGAGGAAAGAAAAGAAGGAAGGAACAGGGGAAAUGUUUGAAGCAACGAUGACUGAGAAUUUUCCCAAGUUAAUGUCAGAAUACCAGGAAGAAUAAAUGCCAAAAAUCAACUACACCUAAAUAUGCCAUGUUCAAAUGGCAGAAAAUCAAAGACAAAGAAAACAUCUUGCAAGAAGACAGAGGAGAAAAGGAUUCAAACUACAGAGAAGCAAAGAUAAGAAUUACAUCUAACUUCUCCUCAGAAACCAUGUAAACAAGAAGAGAGUGUAGUAAAAUAUUUAAAGUGUUGAGAGAAAAAAACCACCAAUCUAGAGUUCUAUAUCCUGCAAAAUUAUCCCUCAAAAGUGAGAGAAAAAUAACAACUUUCUCAGACAAACAAACAUUGAGGGAAAUUUGUUGCCAGUAAAUCUGCCUUUGCAAGAAAGUUAAAAGAAAUUCUUCAGAGAGAAGAAAAUCAACAUAGGUCAGAAACUUGAAUCUACAUAAAGAAUGAAAGAGCAUUAGAGAAAGAAUAAGUGAAGGUAAAUUUUAACAGUUAUUUUUUCUUAUUUUUAACUGAUCUAACAGACUAGAGUUUGUUCAAAAUAGUAAUAUCAACGUCUUCAAUUUUGUGUGCUUAUGUAUGUGUGCGUGUGCACAUGCAUGAGCUUAUGUAUAUGUAAAGUUAAUGGCAACAAUAAUACAGGGUCAAAAGAAAAUAACUAAAAAUAUAUUAUUAUAAGGUACUUGUACCACUUGUGACAGUAUAGUACAAUUUGGAAGUGGAUUUGGAUUAGUUGUAAGUGUAUAUUGAUAACUCUAGGAUAACCACUAAAAACUUUUUUUUAAAAAAAGGUAUAAUUGGUAUGCUAAGAAAGGAGAGAAAAUUGAAUCAUAUAAAAUGAAUUCUGCUAUAAAAACCAUAUGGCAGAAAAAGAGAUGAAGACAAAAAUAAAAACGAAGAAUGAGGGCAAUGAAUAAAAAAUAGUGACAAGUAGGAUAGCUAUUAAUCCAAUAUACCAAUAAUCUCUUUAAAUGGCAAUGGUCUAAAUAGAUAAAUUAAAAGACAGAGAUUGUCAGAGCAGAUCAAAAAGCAAGAUUCAACUCUAUGUUGUCUAUAAGAAACUCACUUUAAAUAUAAAGACACAUACAGGUCAAAAGCAAAGUGAUGGCUGGACAUGGUGGCUCACACCUGUAAUCCCAACACUUUGGGAGGCUAAGACAGGAGAAUUUCUCGAGCCCAGGAGUUCAAGACCAGCCUGGGCAACAUAAUAAGAUCCUGUCUCUACAAAGAAAUUAAAAAGAAAUUAGCCAGGUUUGGUGGCAUGCACCUGUAGUCCCAGCUACUUGGGGGGCUGAGGUGGGAGUCGGGGAGGUCCAGGCUGCAGUGAGCCAUGAUUGUGUCACUGCACUCCAGCCUGAGCAACAGAGCAAGACCCUGUCUCAAAAAACAAAAAAGAAAAAUGAUGGAGAAAGAUAUACCAUGUUAACAUUAAUCAAAAGAAAGCUGGGGUAACUAUAUUAAUUUCAGACUAAGUAGGGUUCAGAGCAAGGAAAAUUAUCAGUGAUGAAGAGGGUUAUUACAUAAUGAUAAAAGGAUCAAUUCUUUAAGAAACAAAACAAUCCUUAUUGUGUAUGUGCUUAACAACAAAGUAUCAAAAUAUGUGAGGCAAAGACUGAUAGAACAGCAAAAACAAAUACAUGAAUGCAUUAUUAUAGUCGGAGACCUCUAUCAGAAAUGAACAUAUGCAGCAGCCAGAAAAUCAGUAAGGGUAUAGCUUAUCUCAGUGACAUCAUCAAUCAACUGGAUAUAAUUGACAUCUAUAGACUACUUCAUUCAACAACAGCACGAUGCACAUUCUUCUCAAGCUCGCAUGGAACAUACACCAACAUAGACCACAUUCCGGGCCAUGAAACACAUCUUAACAAUUAAAAAAAAAAUAAAAAUGAUACAGUGUCUGCUUUCAGACCACAAUGAAAUUAAAUUAAAAUUGACAACAUAAAGAUACCAGGAAAAUUCCCAGAUACUUAGAGAUUAAAUAACACAUUUCUAAAUAACACAUAGGUCAAAUAAGAAAUCUCAAGAGAAGUUUUAAAAUAUUUUUUAACUAAAUGGAAAUGAAAAUACAACUUCUCAAAAUUUAUGAGAUGCAGUGAAAGAAGUGCUGAGAGAGAAAUGUAUAGCAUUGAAUGCAUAUUUAGAAGAGAAAAAAGAUCAAAAUCAAUAAUCUAAGCUUCCACCUUAGGAAAUUAUUUAAAAAAACAAGCAAACUCAAUCCAAAGUAAGCAAAGAAAAGAAAUGAUAGAAAUUAGAGCAAACAUCAAUGAAAUUGUAAACACAAAAUCAAUAGAGAAAAUCAAACCAUAAGCUGAUUCUUUGAAAAUAUCAAUAAUAAAAUUGAUAAGUGUCUAAACCAGACUAAUGAAGAAAAAAAAGAAAUAACACAAACUACUAAUAUUAAAAAUAAAAGGGGAUAUCACUACAGGUCCUGUGGAUAUUAAAAGAAUAACAAAGGAAUACUUUGAACAACUCUUCCCACAAAUUUCAUAAGCUGAUAAAAUGGAUGAAUUCCUUGAAAGACAAAAUCUGCCAAAAUUCACACAAGAAGAAAUAGACAAUCUGAAUAGGCCUAUAUCUAUUAAAGAAAUUGAGUAACAGUUAAUAACUUUCCAAAACAGAAAGUGCCAAGCCCAGGUAGGUUCAUGGGUGAAUUUUUCCAAAAUUUAAGGAAAAAAUCAUACCAGUUCUCUACAAUCUAUUUCAGAAAAUAGUGGCAGAGUGAAUACUUUCUAACUCAUUAUAUGAGGCUAGCAUUACCCUCAUACUAAAACCAAAGACAUUACAAGGAAAGGAAACUACAGACCAACACUUCUCAUAAACAUAGAUGCAAAAAUUUUCAAAAAAAUUUGGCAAAUCAAAUCCAACAAUGUAUAAAAAGAAUUAUACUCCAUGACCAAGUGGGAUUUAUCUCAGGUAUGCAAGUCUGGUCCAAUAUUCAAAAAUCAAUUAAUGUAAUUCAUUACACCAAAAAGCUAAAGAAGAAAAUCACAUGAUCGUAUAAAUAGAUGCAGAAACAGCACCUGAAAAAUUCCAACAUCUAUUCAUGAUAAAACUCUCAGCAAAGUAGGAAUAGAGGGAAACUUCUUUAACUGGAUAAGGAACAUUUGCAAAAUACCCACAGCUAGCAUCACACUUAAUGUUGAGAAACUAGAAGCUUUCUGCUAAGAUCAGGAACAAUGCAAGGAUGUUCUCUUUCACCAAUUAUUUUCAACAUCUAACUGGAAGUCCUAACUAAUGCAAUAAGACAAGAAAAAAAGAUAUAUAGAUUGGGAAGGAAGAAAUAAAACUGCCAUUGUUUGCAAAUGAUAUAACUAUGUAUGUAGAAAAUCUGAAAGAAUUAACAAAAAACUCCUAGAACUAAUAAGUGAUGAUAGCAAGGUUGCAAGAUACAAGGUUAGUAUACAAAAGUCAAUCAUUUUCCUAAAUCCCAGCAAUGAAUAAGUGGAAUUUGAAAUUUAAAACACAAUACUAUUUACCCCAAAAAUGAAAUACUUAGGUAUAAAUCUAACAAAUCAUGCACAAGAUCUACAUGAGGAAGAAUGCAAAACUUGGAUAAAAGAAAUCCUGGACGAACUUAAUAAAGAGAUGUUCCAUGUUCAUGGAUAGGAAGACUCAAUGUUGUCAAGAUGUCAGUUCUUUCCCAACUUUAUCUAUAAAGUCAAUGUGAAGUCAAUGAAAUCUUAGCAAGUUAAUUUGUGGAUACUGACAAACUGAUCUAAAGUUUAUAUGGAGAGGCAAAAGACCCAGAAGUAGCAAGUCAACAUUGAAGAAGAACAAAGUUGGAAGACCAACCCUAUGUAAUGGAAGAUUUAUUAUAAAGCUACAGUAAUCACAAAAGUGUGGUGCUAGUGAAAGAAUAGACAGAUAGCUCAAUAAAACGGAACAGAGAGCCCAGAAAUAGACCCACAUAAAUGUGGCUAACUGAUCUCUAACACAGAAGCAAAGGCAAUACAAUGAAGAAAAGAUAGUCUUUUCAACAAAGUGGUGCUGGAACAACUGGGUAUCCACAUGCAAAAAUAUAAAUCUAGAUACAAACCUUAAACCCAUCACAAAAAUUAACUCAAAAUAGAUCACAGACCUAAAUGUAAAAUGCAAACUAUAAAACUCAUAGAAGAUAACAUGGGAGAAAGUCUAGAUGACCUUGGGUUUGGUGAUGACUUUUUAGAUGUAACACUAAAGGCACAAUCCAUGAAAGAAGAAACUGACAAAAUGGACAUCAUUAAAAUUCAAAUGUUCUGCUCUGUGAAAGACACUGCUAAGAGAAUAAAAGGAUAAGCCAUAGACUGGAAGAAAAUAUUUGCAAAGGCAUAUCUGAUAAAGGACUUUAUUCAAAAUAUAUAAAAAAAAAAAACCCUUAAAACUCAACAAUAAGAAAACAAACAUCCUGAUGUAAAAAUGGGUCAAAGACUUUAAUGGACACUUCACCGAAGAAGACAUACAGUUAGCAAAUAAGUAUAUGAAAAGAUGUUCCACAUCACGUGUCAUCAGGGAAAUGCAAAUUAACACAAGAUAACACCACCUACCUAUUAGAAUGGCCAAAAUCCAGAAUGCUGAUAACACCAAAUGCUGACAAGAAGUUAGAGCAACAAGAACUCUCAUUCAUUGCUGCUAGGAAUGCAAAAUGGUAGACACUUUGGAAGAUGGUUUUAUUACAAAAACAAAUAUAUUCUUAUCAUAUGAUCCAGCAGUUAUGCUCCUUGGUAUUUACCCAAAGGAGUUGAAAACUUUCAUCCACACGAAAACCUGCCCAUGGAUAUUUACAGAAGCUUUAUUCCUAAUUUGCCAAAACUUGGAAGCAACCAAGAUAUCCUUCAGUAGGUAAGGAGAUAAAUAAACUGUGGUACAUCCAGAUAAUGGAAUAUUAUUCAGAACUAAAAAGGAAUGAACUAUCAAGCCAGAAAAGAAAUGGAUGUGAGCCUGGGCAACAUAGCUAGACCCCAUAUCUACAAAAACAUUAAAAAAUUAUCCAGGCAUGAUGGCUCACACUUGUAGUCCUAGCUACUCAGGAGGCUGAAGCAGGAGGAUCACUCAAGCCCAGGAGGUCGAAGCUGCAGUGAGCUAUGAUUACGCCAAUGCACUCCAACCUGGGUGACAGAGCAAGACUCUGUCUCUAAAAGAAAGACAUAGAUGAAAUUUAAUGCAUAUUACUAAGUGAAAGAUGCCAAUUUUAAAGGGCUACAUACUGUAUAAUUCCCAGCAUAUGACAGUUUGGAAAAGGCAAAAUGAUGGAGAGAGUAAAAAGAUGAAUGGUUGUCAGGGCCUGGUGGAGGGAUGAAUAUGCAAGGCACAGAGGAUAUUUAGUGCAGUAAAACUAUUCUAUAGGAUACUAUAAUAAGUAAAACUAUUAUAUCAUAUAGAAUAUAAAACUAUUCUAUAUGAUACUAUAAUGGUGAAUAUAUGUCACUAUACAUUUAUUCAAACCCAUAGAAUGCACAACACCUACAGUGGACCUUAAUGUUAACUAUGGACUGUAGAUAGUAAUGUGUUAGUGCGGGUUCAUCAGCUGUAACGAAUGUACCACUCUGGUGUGGGAUGUUGAUAAUGGGGAGGCUGUGCAUGGUGGGGGUAGAGGGUAAUGGGAAAUCUCUGUACUUUUUGCUCAAUUCUGCUGUGAACCUAAAGCCGCACUAAAAAAAUAAAGUUCAUUUAGAAAGAAAAUAAGUUAAUACAUAUUCAAAAAAUUUAAGCAUAUUACCAUAUGACCUAGUCAUUUCAUUCCUAGGUAUUUACCCAAGAGAAAUGAAAACACACCCACACAAAGACUUGUGCACAAAUAUUCAGAGGAGCUUUAUGCGCAUGAACUAAAAACUGGAAACAACUCGAAUGUCCGUCAGUGGGUGAUUGGAUAAACAAAAUGAGGUUAUCCAUGAAAUGGAAUAUUACUAGCAAUAAAGAGGAAUAAACUAGUGAUAGCCUAAAAAUCAUUAUGCUAAGUGAAUGAAGACAGAAGCAAAGGCGUCCACACUCUCUGAUGCCAUUUAUAUAAAUUCUAGAAAAUAUACAUUAAUCUGUAGCGACGAAAAGCAGAUCAGCAGUGUUGGGCGCAGGGGCAGAGUGUGGAAAGUACUGCAAAGGGGAAUGAAGAAGCUUUUGGGGAUGAUGGAAAUGUUCUGUAUCUUGCUUGUGCUGGUGAUUUCACAAGUGUGCAUGCCUGGGAAAAGUCAUCAGAUCAUACACUUGAAAAGGAAGCAGUUUAUUGUAUGUAAUUACACUCCAGUAAAGGCAAAAAAAAUCUCAUCCAUUAAAUUAAUAUCAAUAGUAGGCUUUCACUUGAAUCAAGGUUUUUCACUUUUCAAUUUUUGCUGAAAAAACUGAGCCCCUCAGCUAUUUUAAGGAUAAAAAACUCUGGUAUGAUUGUUGUUUGACUACUCUGCUUGGAGAGGGUGAGUGGGGGUGCCUGAGCACGGUUUUGAGCCUUGCCUACCUCAUUCCCACCCCCAGGAGCGUGGGUGACAUCAUUUCAGGACACAUCAUGAGGAAUACACUUGACUACCUCUGGGCCCAGCAUGCCGCAGACCUCCACUCAGUCGGCUCCUACAUCCUCCAACCAACAGGAGGUGGAGAAAGGCCCAGGGAUGCCCAGAACCCCAGGAGGCCUACAGAUGCUUUAGAUCAGCUGUACCUUCCCUUCACCUGCAUAAACUCAAACCUGCAGAGGAAAUUUCCUCCUAAGCCCAGACAUUAAUCACACCACUGGGAGACUGUAAAGCCAGUGCCAGGCUGACAGAGAGGCCUGCAGGAACCUGGUCCUUUUUAACAGCACCCAGCAAAGGGAGGGAAAGCCCAAAACCCAGCCUCAGGCAGGACGAUCAGCAUGCAACAGUCAUAAGGAAGCUGCCCCGCUCCCCCGGUUUCCUGAGCAGGAUCUGAGUGUGCAUCCCUCCAAGAACUGGCACUUGGGUUUUAAUUAUAACCUCUACCAAACUUCUCCGCUCUCUGCUGCCACACAGAUCUGCAGCUGAAACUGUCCUCUGUCAAUAUAUAAGCAUCCCCUACUCUAAGGCAGCCAGACACUUUUAGGACCUAUCUAGCCCCAAGUAUUCCUUUAGGAAACACUAUCAGCCACAUCUGGAAGCCUCCAGGUGGGAACACAGUGCAGACCAAUGGGACACAUGUGCUCAAGUCCUGACUGUGCGUCGCUAGCUGUGUGAUUCUGGCAGGUGACCACCAAUCUGAUUACCAUCAUCCUCAUUAGUAACAUAUGGAUAAUAGCUUCCUUACAGAUUAGGUGUGUAGAUCACAGGAGAUUAAGGGAUUUAUAAAGUGCUGUAUGGUCUAUGAAAGUUGGCUAUUAUUAACCAUGCCUAGGGAAUUCAGACUUCAUAUGGCUUUUCUCCACAGAAUCUUCUUACACUUUUCUAAGGUUAAAAAACAAAGGUGGUCUAGGAUCCAAAAAAGAAAAAAUAUGUUAAAAAAUAUUUCUACCAAGUUUGAAAAAACACUUUAAAAUCCUUUCUAACCUCUCUCUCCUCCCACACAUACACCUUAGCUCUAUAGAUGAGCUGUGGCUAAUGUUAAAACAAAUCUAUUUUCCCUUAGAAACACGAUGAUGACACAGGGUAGUGGGUAAAGGAGGGGAGGAUUGGCAGGACGGCCAUAGGAAGUUACAAACUGAGAACAUUCUGUAGCUGUUUAAAUUACACAGAGUACAGUAUGUGUAGAAUGAGAAAGGCAGGGAGGUGGGUUAAGGCCUAUGGAAUAUCAGCAUUUCAAGAUUGGGUAGAAAAAGAGAAGCUUACAAAGGAGAAUGAGAAGGAGUCACAAAGGUGAGUAUGACAGAGACUGCCAGUUGCCCCAACAUCCAUCCUCCCUUUCUUCCACAGUGAUAGAAUUGUUGGCUGCGUGCAUGUUCACUUAGCUAAAGACUGCAUUUACCAACCUCUGUUGCAGCUAGAUGUGACCAUGUGACUGUUCCGGCUACAGGAUCUGAACACAACAUGUGCAACUACAGAUUAUUCUCUUAAAGGGAAAGGAUAUGCUCUCUCCUAUAUAUUUUCCCUUUUUCAGUGGUGGAUUGUGGCUGUGGGAAGAACCAUCCUGAACCACACAGACAGAUUGAGAAACUGAAGGACAGAUAAGACUCGACUCUCCUGAAUCCCAGGCCCUUGCUGGGUCCCCACAAGGUGGUGAGGUCCUUGAAGUGUGUAACACCAACACCCACCGAAACCAAACGGCUCUGGGCAGAGGACACAGCCAU